rnacentral:rRNA from 1 species
GGAUGAACGCUGGCGGCGUGCCUAAUACAUGCAAGUCGAGCGAACAGACGAGGAGCUUGCUCCUCUGACGUUAGCGGCGGACGGGUGAGUAACACGUGGAUAACCUACCUAUAAGACUGGGAUAACUUCGGGAAACCGGAGCUAAUACCGGAUAAUAUAUUGAACCGCAUGGUUCAAUAGUGAAAGACGGUUUUGCUGUCACUUAUAGAUGGAUCCGCGCCGCAUUAGCUAGUUGGUAAGGUAACGGCUUACCAAGGCAACGAUGCGUAGCCGACCUGAGAGGGUGAUCGGCCACACUGGAACUGAGACACGGUCCAGACUCCUACGGGAGGCAGCAGUAGGGAAUCUUCCGCAAUGGGCGAAAGCCUGACGGAGCAACGCCGCGUGAAUGAUGAAGGUCUUCGGAUCGUAAAACUCUGUUAUUAGGGAAGAACAAAUGUGUAAGUAACUAUGCACGUCUUGACGGUACCUAAUCAGAAAGCCACGGCUAACUACGUG